rnacentral:rRNA from 1 species
GAUGAACGCUGGCGGCGUGCCUAAUACAUGCAAGUCGAGCGAACAGACGAGGAGCUUGCUCCUCUGACGUUAGCGGCGGACGGGUGAGUAACACGUGGAUAACCUACCUAUAAGACUGGGAUAACUUCGGGAAACCGGAGCUAAUACCGGAUAAUAUAUUGAACCGCAUGGUUCAAUAGUGAAAGACGGUUUUGCUGUCACUUAUAGAUGGAUCCGCGCCGCAUUAGCCUGUUGGUAAGGUAACGGCUUAGCAAGGCAACGAUGCGUAACCGACCUGAGAGAGUGAUCGACGACGUUCGAAAUGCAACACGCUCCAGACUCCUACGAGGGGCAGCAGUAGGGAAUCUUCCGCAAUGAGCGAAAGACUGACGGGACGACGCCGCGGCAGGGAUGAAGGUCUUCGGAUCGUAAAACUCUGUUAUUAGGUAAGAACAAAUAUGUAAUUAACUAUGCACGUCUUGAGGUUACCUAAUCAGAAAGCCACGGCUAGCUACGUG